UGCUUCAUAACAUGAAGGAAACAGUCAACCUAGUCAAUAAGGAUUGUUGACUCCAAGGAUUUACAAAGGCUAGAUGCAAUAAAGGUUCCAAAAGGGGGUUUUGUCUUUCCAAAUAUUGCACACCUAUACUGAGACCAUGAGCAGUGUGAACUCUGCUGCUUGUCUGCUGGCAAGGAAUCACUUUUACCAGAAUAUCAGUCCUACCAACAAAAUACAACCUGUGUACAGUUUCCCUGCUAGUCUGUCACAAGCAAGGCAAAGGCAAAUGAUGGUCUGGAAACCUGCCUCCUCACACCAAGGUUUGCCAAGACAGGAGCCCAGACGAUGGGUAUUGACCUUGGUUUGGAAAAGUCCAUAAGCCAUCCCAGCCUCAUCGAAACAGCUGGGUUCUGCAGACUGUGUGAUCAAACAGACAUCUGAACCACACCUUGUAUAAAGACUUCACGUAACAUUCCCUGAGCCACAGCAUAUUCUUUCACUUUUGAAACCUCCAAAAACACUAGAGAUGGCAUUUAAAGACUUGGCCCAUCUGAUGUAGACCCUAAAAGAGUUUUCUUAGCAGUUCUAGCUGUAAAUAUUAAGUAAUUUGUCAAGGAAGAUACAAGAGAAAAAAAAACCCUGCAUGAUGGCAUGAUGCAUUCCCUUAACAACUGCCUCUCAUUUGCCCCCAAACAGCAAAAGAGCAUCUCUUGUGUUCUCCUUAACCCUUACUGUAGGGAGUGUGCAAUAGGGUGCAUCAGUUGCCCCCUAAAAAUGAAAAGUUCCUCCGAUCAUGAUGCAUUUUUGUUUUUAUGUUCCUUUUGGUAAGAAAACACACUGGGUGAAAUAUUUUGACAAAAUUCAAAAGUUUAAUGGUGGCACCAGGAGCUCAAAGUUAUGGAAAAAGCUGCUAUUUUAUGACUUUUAUGACAAAAUUUCAAUCACUUUUCAUGAAACAUUAUGGCACCUUAUAGAGUAUACCAAAUAUCUUAGAUACACAUUUUUAGUACAUAUUCUAAAUAUAUUAUCAAGCACAGUUUGAGUUUUAGCUGUUCA